rnacentral:lncRNA from 1 species
GUUAAUUAUUUGUAUAAUAAUCAUGUCUUAUACAGGUGGACUAAAAUAACCUUAAAUUACUCAAAAAUUGACAUGAUAGACUUAAAUGAGUAGAGUUCGAAUCAAACUGAAGAACUAAUCCCAUUUGGUCUUUUUGGAGUGCCAUGUGUGCGUAUUGGACAAAGUUUUUAGCCUCGGUUUUUGAAAUUUCAUCAAUUGCACACGCUUCCCUAGUUGCUCUUGGCGCACGCAAGGCCUUCUUCCUAAUUCCUUCGUCCUUACCUUGAAUCAAAUUUACUAAGGUCAGUUUUUUCUUUUUCCACGUCAAUUUUGAAGGUUGGUGUCUUGCUUGUUGCACUUGAACUUUCGACCUAGUAGCUUGGACAAGUCCUUGCAUAGCUUUCUUGAUGUUCUUUUCUCUUGACCGCAUCAUUGAUCCAUCUGAAACGUGUAAAGGAUCCUUGUUAAAUGAUUCUCCAUGAUACUCAUCAAUGCCUAUUCUAACAAGAGAUCUUCA